rnacentral:rRNA from 1 species
CAGCAGCCGCGGGAAUACAGAGGGUGCAAGCGUUAAUCGGAAUUACUGGGCGUAAAGCGCGCGUAGGUGGUUUGUUAAGUUGGAUGUGAAAUCCCCGGGCUCAACCUGGGAACUGCAUUUGAAACUGGCAGGCUAGAGUCUUGUAGAGGGGGGUAGAAUUCCAGGUGUAGCGGUGAAAUGCGUAGAGAUCUGGAGGAAUACCGGUGGCGAAGGCGGCCCCCUGGACAAAGACUGACGCUCAGGUGCGAAAGCGUGGGGAGCAAACAGGAUUAGAUACCCUGUAGUCCCUGUCUCUUAUAAC